AAGAAACUAAAAUGCAUACUGCAAUUGUUCUCAUACGGCACUUGGUUGCAAAUUACUGUUACAUGGGCUGUUUGUGGUGUUUCAAGCUUCUGUUGAACUAAAAUCCAGAGUGAAUACUGUAAAUCCUGAUAUUGCUUUUGCAAUUGGUAGUAUAACUGGAAAGUUCAUGGCAUCUGUUUUCAUCAGGCAGUAGGCCGAACUGCCUAAGUUCAUUGCUAAAGCUGUUUUUUGUGUGUGUCAAAUCUGGUUGAGUAUUUAGUUCAUUACCAACCAUCUAAAAUUGUUGUUCUGCUAUUUGAGCAAGUUUUCCAUACUGUUUUAAGUUCAAUUCUGGUGCAUUCAUUCAGUUUAAUCUGNUGUUUCACAAUUUGGNUGNUAGAGUGAUUGAGUGAAAAUGCAUAAGGAACUNCACAUANCAUNAUCUGAUAUAAGCUGAAUCUGUGCAAAACUUUUCGUCAAACAAGAUUCAAAUCAUCAUUAAAACUUGUUGGAGCAAAGAGGAAUUGACUUUAUUUGGAUUUGUGCAUUUUCACUAGUCAACUAGUUCAUUUUUCUUAAACUCUAACCAGUCCAACUCAAGUGCUGCAUAAUUGUGUUAAGUCCAGCUGAAGCGUGUUUAAAUUCUAUGAAAAUGUUGUAGCAAAAGUUGGAUUCCAUAUAAAAGAAAUAUAGCAAUCAAAAGAAAAUGAAUUGACAGUGACGAAAAAAGCAUUGAAUUCGUGCAACAGGCUGUUUUGGAAAGUCUGCAGAUUGUAAAAUUUAAUACUAGCUGGACUGUCUUUGAGGCAUAUUAACAAACAGUUUGUGGAAUUUGCAUUUUAUCAUUGACUGCACCUCUUUUGUUGAUUGAGUCAUUUGUUUGUGUUUUAAAUAUGUUCUAGAGCUAUUCCUAGGUUCUGUUUGUGUGCCAGCU
rnacentral:lncRNA from 1 species